UACGGAGGAUCCGAGCGUUAUCCGGAUUUAUUGGGUUUAAAGGGUGCGUAGGCGGUUUGAUAAGUUAGAGGUGAAAUGUCGGGGCUCAACCCCGAAACUGCCUCUAAUACUGUUGGACUAGAGAAUAGUUGCGGUAGGCGGAAUGUAUGGUGUGGCGGUGAAAUGCUUAGAGAUCAUACAGAACACCGAUUGCGAAGGCAGCUUACCAAACUAUAUCUGACGUUGAGGCACGAAAGCGUGGGUAGCAAACAGG
rnacentral:rRNA from 1 species